AUUGAACGCUGGCGGCAGGCCUAACACAUGCAAGUCGAGCGGUUGACGGGAGCUUGCUCCCUGAUUCAGCGGCGGACGGGUGAGUAAUGCCUAGGAAUCUGCCUAUUAGUGGGGGACAACGUUUCGAAAGGAACGCUAAUACCGCAUACGUCCUACGGGAGAAAGCAGGGGACCUUCGGGCCUUGCGCUAAUAGCUGAGCCUAGGUCGGAUUAGCUUGUUGGUGAGGUAAUGGCUCACCAAGGCGACGAUCCGUAACUGGUCUGAGAGGAUGAUCAGUCACACUGGAACUGAGACACGGUCCAGACUCCUACGGGAGGCAGCAGUGGGGAAUAUUGGACAAUGGGCGAAAGCCUGAUCCAGCCAUGCCGCGUGUGUGAAGAAGGUCUUCGGAUUGUAAAGCACUUUAAGUUGGGAGGAAGGGUUGUAGAUUAAUACUCUGCAAUUUUGACGUUACCGACGGAAUAAGCACCGGCUAACUCUGUGCCAGCAGCCGCAGUAA
rnacentral:rRNA from 1 species